rnacentral:lncRNA from 1 species
CUCUGCCCUUUCUUUUUCCUUCCCUCCCAUUAGUUCUGUUCCUUAAACAGUAUAACUUGUUCUAAUUUUGUGAUACUUAAAAAUCAUAACAAAAUGUACUUCAUAUUCAUACUUGCAUAGGAGAUAUCUUAAUGGAUAAAAGCAAAGUAUAAUUCAAAAUAAAUUUUAGAACUAUUUGUUGCUAAUGUAAAUCAUUUUAUAGUUCUCUAACAUGUGAAUAUAUCAAAAUAUGAUAUAACAAAAAUUAAGUCUAAGGCAAUCUUCUGGGGGUUGUGUAUUUUGGCAAGCAGCAAGUUAAUGUGGAGUUUGUGUAUUUACAGCAUCAGAACUGAGUCUCAAUAGGGCAUUCAGAAAGUCCUUCAAAUGGAGCCUCAAUCAAGAAAAUUACAACACAGGGACAACAGCACUUUCUCCACAGACAACUGCACUUUCCCACUCAAGUAUGCUUUAACGGAUGGAGAAAGAGUACAUGAGGAUUUGGAGAUUUCGGGAGCCCUGUGA